rnacentral:lncRNA from 13 species
CAUUUAUAAAAAAUUUAUGAAAAUUAUUUUGACUUUAAUUUCAGUUAAGUCAUUAAAUUGGAUGAAAUUCUCUCUCUUUCUCUCUUGCUACAGUUAUCAAUUGAAAGAAACUUACAAAGACCUCAAAGAACCGUGCGAGUAGUGCAAGUAGUCCCUUACACUACAAGAGACAUCGCGCCGCUUUGAAUAAUUAUUUUUAAAUGAAGUACACCGCGAGCUAUAUAUGCAAGGAGGCCGCGCGAGGGAAAGGGCAAGGGGAGCGAAGGGUGCUAAAGAGAGGAUCGAAAGCUGGAAGUAGGUCAGUAACGCUCGACGUGUGUGACUGCCUGCCUGUUGGGCUUUUCCCUCUACGGUGUCUACUCCUGCGGACGUGCUCGUCCUUGAUCCCGUCGCGUACCCUGCGAGAAUGGGGGCGAGAAUAACGUCCAUCUGUCCGUCCGUUUGUACGUGAGACCCGCGUAUGUGCGGGUGACAUGCGUGCAUCGUCAAUCACUGACGUUCCAUGACCUCCGCGUGGAACAUCAGCCCUACACUGCACACUCUGUAUUCCUAUCCCUGUCGCCUUACCGAGUAGUGCGGUUUCUCCUCUCUCUAUACCGAUGCGCUACUCUCUACAUGCGCGCGCGUAUGUACGUGCGGUACAUCUCUUGGUGCCGUCGCACGACAUGCACCAGGCGAUGUCGGUGUGAGAGAGCGUCUGCCCCGGCGCUGCUGCAAUCAAUACCAACUGAUGCAUUUGUGCCCGUGGCUUUCGUGCCCGGCCGUUCGCACGCAGUACCCGCGCCGAUCACCAAUCCUAUUUCCCGAUAUUUCUUCCGUAAUAACUCGCUAUCGUCUGAAUUUAGACAAUUCGAUAAAUUUCUCCUUGCAAAACAACCAGAAAUAUACUUGGAAAUCAAUGUAAUUUUAACGAAUUUCAAUCAGGGUCAAAAUCAUUAGCUCGAGGACCGACCUACUUCAAGAACGCCAGAAUAGAUAUUAAGAAAAUAGAAAAUUUACGAUCAAUGGAUUAAUUGAUACGACCUCAAAAUUAUCGAGAGAGUAUCGUUAAAAAUUAUCGUCUAUAAUUGCCAAAAAUAUCAAACCUUAUCGGUUGGAUGAAUAAAUAAACAUCGGCAUUCAAAAAUGUAAAGCUUUUAUAAAUUAUUAUCUCCUAUGUAGAAAUAGUUCGCUCGUUGCAUAACGAAUGAAAGUUGAAGAGUUAAUGUCAUACUGGAAACACAAUUGUGUUCAAACGACGUCAACUUGAAACGGAUUAUCAACGAGAAAAACUUCAAGCGUACGUGCGCAAUGCCACGCGAUCGCUACGCUUAUGUCGCUGCGUUACGACGACAUCGACACGCUAUCGACGGUUUCAUGGCACCCCGGGGGCCGCUUCCUGACCCGGAAGGAGGACCGAAGGGAGAGAGCCGAUAAUGUCAAUGCGGCUUUUCCUCGCGUGUUUUGAACGGGCCACACGCUGUGCGCUGAGUGCCUCUAAAUGCAACCUAUUUACUCGCCGCACCGCCUACAGGAUGUCUCGGGGAGAAAUGACUACCACUUUAACAAGGGCUAAUGUGUACGUUUCCAAAAGAUUGUACCUUUCCGCUGUUGUAGCUAUUGUUGCGCCGAGACGCCCUAGCGUGUGCCUCAGUUCUAACAAUUUCUAACAUUUUUUAUGGUAAUAUUAUCGACGAAUGUAGUGAUCAUCGAGUUGCCAUGUGUGUUAAGGAAUUGUUGAUUUUUAAAUAUACAGAGAAAGAGAAAGAGAGAGAGAAAGCAAAAAAAGUCAAAUAUUAAAAAAGUAAACAAGUAAGAAUAACUUUUAGCAAAAGUUAUCGAUUCAAACUUUAUGUCUACAUUAUAUUAAAUGUAAUUCAAUUUUUUAUUUUAUCAUCUGCGCUUUUGCUCGUUUCUUGACUUAUUAAAUCUUGUAACGCGAUAUGUCUUUAUAAACGCGUUCUAAAAAUAUGGGCCUAUAUUUUUACUUAAUAUAAGCAAUAUUUAAUAAUAAAAAU